UUCGCAAUGCCCGAAAGGGUGACGAUGCGACGCCGCGUGAGCGAAGAAGGCCCUAGGGUUGUAAAGCUCUGUCGAGGGUUAUGAAAUAUAGAUGGGUUAAUACCCCAUUUAUUUGACAAAAGCCCAAAAGGAAGCCACGGCUAACUCUGUGCCAGCAGCCGCGGUAAUACAGAGGUGGCGAGCGUUGUUCGGUAUUAUUGGGCGUAAAGAGCACGUAGGUGGUUUUGUAAGUCAGGUGUGAAAGCCUUCUGUUCAAAGGAAGAACGGCAUCUGAAACCGCAGAUCUUGAGUGUAGGAGGGGAGAGUGGAACUUCUGGUGGAGCGGUGAAAUGCGUAGAUAUCAGAAGGAACGCCGGCGGCGAAAGCGGCUCUCUGGCCCGUAACUGACGCUGAGGUGCGAAAGUUAGGGGAGCAAACGGGAUUAGAUACCCCGGUAGUCCUAACCGUAAACGAUGGGCACUAAGUAGAGGGGUUUU
rnacentral:rRNA from 1 species